rnacentral:rRNA from 1 species
CAGCCGCCGCGGUAAUACAGAGGGUGCGAGCGUUAAUCGGAUUUACUGGGCGUAAAGCGUGCGUAGGCGGCUUUUUAAGUCGGAUGUGAAAUCCCUGAGCUUAACUUAGGAAUUGCAUUCGAUACUGGGAAGCUAGAGUAUGGGAGAGGAUGGUAGAAUUCCAGGUGUAGCGGUGAAAUGCGUAGAGAUCUGGAGGAAUACCGAUGGCGAAGGCAGCCAUCUGGCCUAAUACUGACGCUGAGGUACAAAAGCAUGGGGAGCAAACAGGAUUAGAUACCCCAGUAGUCCCUGUCUCUUAUGC